GCGCCGAUAGCUCAAUUGGAUAGAGCGUCUGACUACGGAUCAGGAGGCUGGGGGUUCGACUCCUCCUCGGCGCGCUA
rnacentral:tRNA from 1 species